AUACUUACCUGGACGGGGUCGAUGGGCGAUCAAAAAGGCCCAUGGCCUAGAUUGGUGACCUCCAUUGCACUUAGGAGGGGCACCCGUCUAAGGUCGGCCCAAGUGGUCGAGCCUACGUCAUAAUUUGUGGUAGUGGGGGCUUGCGUUCGUGCGGCCCCUGC
rnacentral:snRNA from 1 species